GUUGCACAAUCACCUCCGGCCCCUCCCCAGGACCGGACGCGCGCACUCCGGGCAAGAUGAUUCCGCACAGACCAGCCUUUUCCCCAAGUGAAAGGAAACCUUGGUAAAAUUCCAGCGCUGGAUGAAAUGUCGGGCAACAUCUCGUGCUGCUGAACCAUGGACAACGACCCCCACAUCCCUCCAGGGCAUUCGGGGCAUCAUCUCCCUAUCAAUGAAAUCUGGGGGACCCCAAAGGGAAAAAUCAAAAAAGGGGUCCUGAAGCCAGCUUCUAGACAUACACAUAAACACAGAGCCAGGGUAACAGGGAGAUCAUGCUUGCUAUAGAGAAAGCUCUCUUGAUCUCCCUGAACCAGUUCUCAUCAUGAACUCUUCUCCUGGAAUCUACCCAGGUGCUCCAAGUCCUUUAACUAUUAUUACUCACCACCAAUCUGCAAUGAAAAUCUCCUCCCGGGCCUGAAGGAUGGCAUCAGCCACAGCUGCAAAGUAACCUGCCCCAUUUACAAACCUAAAGAAGGAUGAGUAGAAAAUAUUUAUAGCAACUCUCUUCUCAUGGCAAAAAGAAUGAAAAUUGAAGGGAUCCCUCAUCAGUU